UACGUAGGUGGCAAGCGUUGUCCGGAAUUAUUGGGCGUAAAGCGCGCGCAGGUGGUCUCUUAAGUCUGAUGUGAAAGCCCACGGCUCAACCGUGGAGGGUCAUUGGAAACUGGGGGACUUGAGUACAGAAGAGGAAAGUGGAAUUCCACGUGUAGCGGUGAAAUGCGUAGAGAUGUGGAGGAACACCAGUGGCGAAGGCGACUUUCUGGUCUGUAACUGACACUGAGGCGCGAAAGCGUGGGGAGCAAACAGG
rnacentral:rRNA from 1 species